UACGAAGGGGGCUAGCGUUGUUCGGAAUUACUGGGCGUAAAGCGCGCGCAGGUGGUCUUUCAAGUCAGUGGUGAAAGCCCGGAGCUCAACUCCGGAAAUGCCAUUGAAACUGUGAGACUCGAGGACGAGAGAGGUGAGUGGAAUUCCCAGUGUAGAGGUGAAAUUCGUAGAUAUCGGCAGGAACACCCAGGGGGAAACCAGUCGACUGGGCAGCUACUGACGCUGAGGUGCGAGAGCGUGGGGAGCGAACCGG
rnacentral:rRNA from 1 species